AUGGUUAAGCUACUAAGAGCACACGGAGGAUGCCUAGGCGCUAGGAGCCGAUGAAGGACGUGGCGAACAACGAUACUGCCUCGGGGAGCUGUAAGCAAGCUUUGAUCCGGGGAUGUCCGAAUGGGGAAACCCGGCUGAUGUAAUAGUCAGUCACUUCUGUCUGAAUACAUAGGACAGAUUGAGGCAUACCAGGGGAACUGAAACAUCUAAGUACCCUGAGGAAGAGAAAACAAGAGUGAUUCCGUCAGUAGCGGCGAGCGAACGCGGAACAGCCUAAACCGGUCAGCUUGCUGGCCGGGGUUGUGGGACGUCUCACAUGGAGUUACAAAGGAAUUGGUUAGGCGAAGAGGUCUGGAAAGGCCCGGCAUAGAAGGUAAAAGCCCUGUAGCCGAAAGUCAGUUCCCUCCGAGACGGAUCCCGAGUAGUGCGGGGCACGUGAAACCCCGUAUGAAUCUGGCAGGACCAUCUGCUAAGGCUAAAUACUCCCUAGCGACCGAUAGUGAAACAGUACCGUGAGGGAAAGGUGAAAAGCACCCCGGAAGGGGAGUGAAAUAGAACCUGAAACCGUGUGCUUACAAGAAGUCAGAGCCCUGUUUAUGGGUGAUGGCGUGCCUUUUGUAGAAUGAACCGGCGAGUUACGUUCCCGUGCAAGGUUAAGGUGAGAAGCCGGAGCCGCAGCGAAAGCGAGUCUGAAUAGGGCGAUUGAGUACGUGGACGUAGACCCGAAACCGUGUGAUCUACCCCUGUCCAGGGUGAAGGUGCGGUAACACGCACUGGAGGCCCGAACCCACGAAUGUUGAAAAAUUCGGGGAUGAGGUGGGGGUAGCGGAGAAAUUCCAAUCGAACUCGGAGAUAGCUGGUUCUCCCCGAAAUAGCUUUAGGGCUAGCCUCGGUUUUGCAGUCGUGGAGGUAGAGCACUGAUUGGGUGCGGGGCCCGCAAGGGUUACCAAGCUCAGUCAAACUCCGAAUGCCAUCGACUGAUCGACCGGGAGUCAGACAGUGAGUGCUAAGAUCCAUUGUCAAAAGGGAAACAGCCCAGACCAUCAGCUAAGGUCCCCAAGUGUGUGUUAAGUGGGAAAGGAUGUGGAGUUGCACAGACAACCAGGAUGUUGGCUUAGAAGCAGCCACCAUUGAAAGAGUGCGUAAUAGCUCACUGGUCGAGUGACUCUGCGCCGAAAAUGUAACGGGGCUAAACACACCACCGAAGCUAUGGCUUGAUGUUUGCAUCAGGGGUAGGGGAGCGUUGUAUACAGCGUUGAAGGUGUACCGUAAGGAGCGCUGGAGCGUAUACAAGUGAGAAUGCCGGUAUGAGUAACGAAAAGAUCAGUGAGAAUCUGAUCCGCCGAAAGCCCAAGGUUUCCUGAGGAAGGCUCGUCCGCUCAGGGUAAGUCGGGACCUAAGGUGAGGCCGACAGGCGUAAUCGAAGGACAACAGGUUGAAAUUCCUGUACCACCGUAAACCGUUAUGAGUGAUGGGGUGACGCAGGAGGGUAGUGACGCGAGCUGAUGGAUGCUCGUCCAAGCAGUGAGGCUGGUGUGUAGGCAAAUCCGCACACUUUAAGGCUGGGCUGUGAUGGGGAGGGAAAAUUAUAGUACCGAAGGUCAUGAUCUCACACUGCCAAGAAAAGCCUCUAACCAGGUGAAGGUGCCCGUACCGCAAACCGACACAGGUAGGCGAGAAGAGAAUUCUAAGGCGCGCGGAAGAACUCUCGUUAAGGAACUCGGCAAAAUGACCCCGUAACUUCGGGAGAAGGGGUGCCCCGGUAGUGUGAAUAGCACGAGGGGGCCGCAGUGAAAAGGCCCAAGCGACUGUUUAGCAAAAACACAGGUCUGUGCGAAGCCGCAAGGCGAAGUAUACGGGCUGACGCCUGCCCGGUGCUGGAAGGUUAAGGGGAGCGGUUAGGNNNNNNNNNNNNNNNNNNNNNNNNNNNNNNNNNNUGAAACCUGAGCGCCAGCUUGGGUGGAGGCGCCGUUGGGAUACCACCCUGAUCGUAUCUAGGUUCUAACCUGGUACCGUAAUCCGGUAUGGGGACAGUGUCAGGUGGGCAGUUUGACUGGGGCGGUCGCCUCCUAAAGAGUAACGGAGGCGCCCCAAGGUUCCCUCAGAAUGGUUGGAAAUCAUUCGAAGAGUGCAAAGGCAGAAGGGAGCUUGACUGCGAGACCUACAAGUCGAGCAGGGACGAAAGUCGGGCUUAGUGAUCCGGUGGUACCGCAUGGAAGGGCCAUCGCUCAACGGAUAAAAGCUACCCUGGGGAUAACAGGCUUAUCUCCCCCAAGAGUCCACAUCGACGGGGAGGUUUGGCACCUCGAUGUCGGCUCAUCGCAUCCUGGGGCUGAAGUAGGUCCCAAGGGUUGGGCUGUUCGCCCAUUAAAGCGGUACGCGAGCUGGGUUCAGAACGUCGUGAGACAGUUCGGUCCCUAUCUGUCGUGGGCGUAGGAAAUUUGAGAGGAGCUGUCCUUAGUACGAGAGGACCGGGAUGGACGUACCGCUGGUGCACCAGUUGUUCCGCCAGGAGCAUGGCUGGGUAGCUACGUACGGACGGGAUAAGCGCUGAAAGCAUCUAAGCGUGAAGCCCCCCUCAAGAUGAGAUUUCCCAGUAUGUAAGACCCCUUGUAGACGACGAGGUAGAUAGGUUGGAGGUGGAAGUGCAGCAAUGCAUGGAGCUGACCAAUACUAAUCGGUCGAGGGCUUAUCCAAAA
rnacentral:rRNA from 1 species